UGACCAAGGGGUCGGGACGUUCUGCCUGUUUCAGGGGCGGAGUGACCUACGGGUACAGGGAGUACCUGCGCAAGGGCCGGGUCAGGAAAAGC
rnacentral:ncRNA from 1 species